UACGUAGGGUGCGAGCGUUGCCCGGAUUUAUUGGGCGUAAAGGGCGCGUAGGCGGCCUUCUAAGUCGAACGUGAAAUCCCCGGGCUCAACCCGGGAACUGCGUCCGAUACUGGAAGGCUUGAAUCCGGGAGAGGGAUGUGGAAUUCCAGGUGUAGCGGUGAAAUGCGUAGAUAUCGUAAGGAAGACCAGUGGCGAAGGCGGGUCUCUGGACAGUUCCUGACGCUGAGGCACGAAGGUCAGGGGAGCAAACGGG
rnacentral:rRNA from 1 species